rnacentral:rRNA from 1 species
UGAGGAAUAUUGGUCAAUGGGCGCAAGCCUGAACCAGCCAUGCCGCGUGCAGGAAGACGGUCCUAUGGAUUGUAAACUGCUUUUAUUUGGGAAUAAACCUCUUUACGUGUAGAGAGCUGAAGGUACCAAAUGAAUAAGCACCGGCUAACUCCGUGCCAGCAGCCGCGGUAAUACGGAGGGUGCAAGCGUUACCCGGAAUCAUUGGGUUUAAAGGGUCCGCAGGCGGUCUUAUAAGUCAGUGGUGAAAGCCUACAGCUCAACUGUAGAACUGCCAUGGAUACUGUAAGACUUGAAUUCGAGAGAGGUGGGCGGAAUAUGAGGUGUAGCGGUGAAAUGCGUAGAUAUGUCGAAGAACACCGGUAGCGAAGGAGGCUCACUGGGUCUGGAUUGACGCUGAGGGGCGAAAGCGUGGGGAGCAAACA